rnacentral:rRNA from 1 species
GACGAACCGUGCGAACGUUAUUCGGAAUCACUGGGCUUAAAGCGCGUGUAGGCGGGUCGGCGCGUCGGACGCUGAAAUCCCCCGGCUCAACCGGGGAAGGGGCGCCGAUACGGCCGGCCUGGAGGGACGUAGGGGGGGCUGGAACUUCCGGUGGAGCGGUGAAAUGCGUUGAGAUCGGAAGGAACGCCCGUGGCGAAAGCGAGCCCCUGGACGUCUACUGACGCUGACGACGGCGAAAAGCCCAGGGGGAGCGAACGGGG